GAUGAACGCUGGCGGCGUGCCUAAUACAUGCAAGUCGAACGAGGUGCUUUUUGUAGCAAUACGAGGAGUAUCCUAGUGGCGAACGGGUGAGUAACGCGUGGGUGACCUACCCCAAAGUGUGGAAUAACAGUCCGAAAGGAUUGCUAAUACCGCAUGUGGUCAUUGGGUUUAGAAACUGAUGACUAAAGGAGCAAUCCGCUUUGGGAGGGACCUGCGUCCCAUCAGCUAGUUGGCGAGGUAACGGCUCACCAAGGCGACGACGGGUAGGGGACCUGAGAGGGUGGCCCCCCACAAUGGAACUGAAACACGGUCCAUACACCUACGGGUGGCAGCAGUAGGGAAUAU
rnacentral:rRNA from 1 species